AUGAUGGCGGCGCUCUCGUGUCGUUUCCUAUUUGGGGAGUCAUUCUUGAAGGUGUGCAUUGGAUCAAGGGAUAAGUGGACGGUUUUACUGGUGGAGCGGCGUUUCUUGUUCACAUCGGUGAUGUGGAGUCUCGGCGGCGUGGUGCGGCAGGGUCUCAGCAACGGAUGUGUGAUGAUGGGCACGCGUAGGGAGAUGGCGUUGUUUAGUGUCGUGGUGGCGUCGACUGCGGGCUUGACAAUUGAUGCGUCGGUACAUGCUCUGAAGAUGAAUCGGUGGAAGAUGCGUCGGCAGCCUCUGAGAGGGUGCCGAACCGAUGAGUGCCCUGAUGGCUUAGUUGGCACCUCAAGUUUUAGAUGUUAG
rnacentral:rRNA from 1 species